CAGCAGCCGCGGUAAUACGAAGGGUGCAAGCGUUAAUCGGAAUUACUGGGCGUAAAGCGUGCGUAGGCGGUUUGUUAAGUCAGAUGUGAAAUCCCGAGCUUAACUUGGGAACUGCAUUUGAAACUGGCAAGCUAGAGUCUUGUAGAGGGGGGUAGAAUUCCAGGUGUAGCGGUGAAAUGCGUAGAGAUCUGGAGGAAUACCGGUGGCGAAGGCGGCCCCCUGGACAAAGACUGACGCUCAGGUGCGAAAGCGUGGGGAGCAAACAGGAUUAGAUACCCCGGUAGUCCCUGUCUUUAUACAC
rnacentral:rRNA from 1 species